UACGAAGGGAGCUAGCGUUUUUCGGAAUUACUGGGCGUAAAGCGCGUGUAGGCGGCCAAUUAAGUUGGAAGUGAAAGCCCAAGGCUUAACCUUGGAACUGCUUCCAAAACUGGUAGGCUAGAGAGUGAUAGAGGAUGGCGGAAUUCCUAGUGUAGAGGUGAAAUUCUUAGAUAUUAGGAGGAACAUCGAUGGCGAAGGCAGCCAUCUGGGUCAUUUCUGACGCUGAGACGCGAAAGCGUGGGGAGCAAACAGG
rnacentral:rRNA from 1 species